CCCAUCCCCACAGGAGGCACCUCGCAGCAGGGCCUUUCCCAGAUGGACCUUUCUCGGUUGACUCCCGCUCUCUCCUUCUUGCCUGGGGUUUUGGAGCCGCUCUACUAACUGCAGCCGGGUUGGCUACGGAUUCGGAAAGCGCUGGGUCUGCAGCAGCCCCCGCCUGGGUCUUGGACCUGUCACCCAGCCAGGGCGCAGACCGCUCGGUGGGGACGGAAAGUUAACGCGCCUCGUUACGGCUGAUGCAGAGAGUCCCUCUGACAGACACAUGGGGUAAUGGCUUGGGAUGAACACACGCCGACGGAUAAUUGGAAAAGAGACUUCUCAUUGUUCUUCGGGCCCAUGAUUCAUUUGCUGUAGAAGUGAUCUCGUUGGCUGUCCUACACAUUUCCUCUCUGAACCAUGUUUUUCUUGGAUUGACUUAAAUAUACAAGGAACAAAGCACUUUCUGAAAGAAGCAACCCAAUGCCAACAUGUUGGACCUGAGAAAUCAAGAUGUCUCUGUAGGCAAGGCUUGAAGGGGUGUGUUUCUCUAUUCCCUGACAGUUGUACAUGCACCUGCUCGGCCAUAAAGCACUCAACUCUGUCUUUUCCAUAAUUUUUGUGUGGCAAAGAAGUGUGAGGCUGAGUGGUGCAGGAAAACCGUCAGCAGCCACCUUGGGGAACAGAUGCACUUGUUCCUAGCCCUGCAGAGUGGGCUCUGGAGGAAGACUCCCACCCAGGGGAUUGGCUCACAACUAGGUCAGCCUGGUCGAUUUAGUUCUUUUUCCUUCCAGGUGCUUCGUUCCAAGCCUUAAACCCCAAACCUGGGCGGCACUGCUUCCUUCCUUAGAAAUUACAUGGCAAGACAUUACGUUUCUUUCGACAAUUCUUGAUCUUAAGCUCCAGAUCCACCUCAGAUUCUCUCAACCAGCUGACCAGAUUCAAGGUGGCCAAAAGAAGAGGUGAACUAUGGUCAUGGUUGUGAUCGUCUCGCUACUCACAAUGGGGAAGCUGUACACGUGGAUUGUAAAGUAUGUGCAUAGAUGGAGGUGAUCCAAGAGAGAGUUGGGAGUUUCUACCUGUUGAGGUCUGAAUGCUUGUGUCCCUCUCACUUUCACAGGUUGGAAUUGCAACCCCCAAGGUGAUGGCAUAGGAAGUGGGGCCUGUGGGAGGUGUUAGGUCACCAGGGCAGACCCCUUAUGACUGGGAUUCAUGCCCUUAUAAGAAGAGGCCCCAGAGAGCUAGCUUGUCUUUUUUGCCCAGUGAUGGUUGUCAGUGCAAAAGGCUGCCCUCCCCAGACCUGCAAUCUGCACGUGUCUUGAUCUUGAGCUCUUCAGACUUCAGACUGUGAGAAAUAAAUUUCUGUUGUUUAUAAACCACCCAGUUGAUGGUGUUUUUGUGGUAGAAGCUCACACAGACUAAAACAUAGGGAGAGACUGUCCUUUUUCCAGUGGAUAGUCUUUCCUGCUUUGUCAAAUAUUAGUUGACCAUAGAGUUAAUGGAAAAUUGGACAGCCACAUGCAGAAGAAUGAUACUAGACCAUUCUUUUACACCAGA